rnacentral:rRNA from 1 species
AUGAACGCUAGCGGCAGGCCUAAUACAUGCAAGUCGAACGGGAUCCAAGAUAAAGCUUGCUUUAUUUUGGUGAGAGUGGCGCACGGGUGCGUAACGCGUGAGCAACCUACCCAUAUCAGGGGGAUAGCCCGGCGAAAGUCGGAUUAACACCGCAUAACAAUACGGGAUCGCAUGAUUCUGUAUUUAAAUAUUUAUAGGAUAUGGAUGGGCUCGCGUGACAUUAGCUAGUUGGUAAGGUAACGGCUUACCAAGGCUACGAUGUCUAGGGG